GCAGUGGUAGUUCAGUGGUAGAAUUCUCACCUUCCGCGCAGGAGACUCAGGUUCGAUUCCUGACCAAUGCA
rnacentral:tRNA from 1 species